GGCUUCUCUGGGGGCGCCCCAGACCCUUGCGGACCCUGAGUGCCCACUCUGGUGGCGCGGCCUGCAGAGGCCCCCAGCCGAUGGCCACAUGCCCGGCCGUCCAUCCACAGGUGCCUGGGUCUGGGCCGCGUGUCCGAUCCCACCCCAACCAGGUCUUCCUGUGGAGGGCCUGCCUUCGAGGACGAACCUGACCCCCUGGGGGACCCCACAGCCUUCACUUCCCACCCCUACGCUCUCCACAGCUGACGCACUCCCUGCGGCUUCCCUGCACCACCCCGGGGAACGGAGGCCUUUGGGUUCCAGACUUGCAGACAUGGUGAUUUGGGGCCCUGGGAUGGUACCACGAGGCUGGAGUCCAAAAGCGCUUGUCCUGGCCCUCGCACCCACUCGCCUGCGUGCUUCCCCUCCCACAAGGAGUUAGAGCGUGGUGCCAGGUAAGCAAGCCACACCCCUAUCACAAGUCCAGCAAAAGGCUCCAG
rnacentral:lncRNA from 1 species